rnacentral:rRNA from 1 species
UACGUAGGGUGCAAGCGUUGUCCGGAAUUAUUGGGCGUAAAGAGCUCGUAGGCGGUUUGUCGCGUCUGCUGUGAAAACCCGAGGCUCAACCUCGGGCCUGCAGUGGGUACGAGCAGACUAGAGUGCGGUAGGGGAGAUUGGAAUUCCUGGUGUAGCGGUGGAAUGCGCAGAUAUCAGGAGGAACACCGAUGGCGAAGGCAGAUCUCUGGGCCGUAACUGACGCUGAGGAGCGAAAGCAUGGGUAGCGAACAGG